GGCGAGNUGANGCAGNNCGCCGCGUGCGGGAUGAAGGCCUUCGGGUUGUAAACCGCUUUCAGCAGGGAAGAAGCGAAAGUGACGGUACCUGCAGAAGAAGCACCGGCUAACUACGUGCCAGCAGCCGCGGUAAUACGUAGGGUGCAAGCGUUGUCCGGAUUUAUUGGGCGUAAAGAGCUCGUAGGCGGUUAGUCACGUCGGAUGUGAAAACCCAGUGCUUAACACUGGGCCUGCAUUCGAUACGGGCUGACUAGAGUGUUGUAGGGGAGACUGGAACUCCUGGUGUAGCGGUGAAAUGCGCAGAUAUCAGGAAGAACACCGGUGGCGAAGGCGGGUCUCUGGGCAACUACUGACGCUGAGGAGCGAAAGCGUGGGGAGCAAACAGGAUUAGAUACCCUGGUAGUCCACGCCGUAAACGGUGGGCGCUAGGUGUGGGGAACAUUCCACGUUCUCCGUGCCGCAGCUAACGCAUUAAGCGCCCCGCCUGGGNNNGUACGGA
rnacentral:rRNA from 1 species